rnacentral:sRNA from 1 species
GCUUUGAAAAAGAUCAGUUUCAAAUUCCAGUCCUUGAAUUUAAGUCACAGAACCUUGGUUGUUUAAAGUCCUUUGAGUAGAGUCUGGAGGCAGAGCUGAGAAGCACACGAGUCUGUGGAGUUUGGUUGCAUUAACUCUCAAUGGAAAGGGCCCACUUUUACAAAAUUAUCGAUCCACUCCUGUGCUACAUAACCGUACAAUCUGCUGCUCACGGAUGAAGGUGCUGGUGAUGAUUCAUCUCCACAACCCACCAGAUUGGAUUAGAAUAUAUCCGGGGCGUCAACGAGGCACACCUAUGGAUCCAUCUGAAAGGCCCUCUCCAGACAAAGUUUCCUUUCGGAAGGAAAACCCACCCAGAAUGGGGAUGACACUGCUCUAAUAGGAGGGUGCUCUCUACUUGACAAAAGGAGAAAGCCAGUUAGGAUGGCGCCAUUCCUUUCUCUGCUCCCUGGUGUUCCCGGCUGACCAAGCUACUAUGUCGCCAUGGCUUCCUUGACAUGAUGGACUGUAUUCCUCUGAACUUUGAGCCCAGCUAAGACCUUCCCUCUCUUAAGUUUAAUUUUUGUCAUGAGUCCAGUGACUAAAACCAUAACUAUUACAGUGCCUCAUUAAACCCUUCAAGCUGUGGAAAGCCCAUUCCUCACGUCGCCGGCAUGACCAGACAAAGGCCCAUGGAGUGUGAGCAUGUUCACUUCAGCUAAUGUGUUAAAUAAUGAAGUGGCACUUCAUUUUCAUGUUUAGAUGAAAAACAUACAUUGUCACGUGUAUUCCUGAACUGCAGUAGACUGUCUUGUGUACCUUCUCCCUUCUGCCCAUGAAGAAAUGUGCUGAAAUUCUUUAUCAGACACGGAGAAUAUGGAAUAAACUCAGGGAAAACACGGUGCUAGUAAAACAGGCCCACAGGAAUUCAGUGGGUCAAUCUAGACAACUCUUUUAAGUAUAAUCCGAGAACUAAGAGGAGGUUGCAGAUAUUAAAGUCUGUAAUGAAGUCUGACUGUAGAUGUAACACUAGACUAGGUUGCAUGAUCAGUGUGGACUGAGGUGUGAGAGAUCACUCUCACUGUACACAAGGAACUAGUCCAUCUUUUACAGACUUCCACGACCUACAACUGGACGCUCCAUCAACAAUCCAGACGGCAAUGUGGAGAGUUAGGAAAAAGUUACUAUGAGUCAUAAAAUAAAAAAAAAGUGUGAGAAAA